rnacentral:rRNA from 1 species
UACAGAGGUCUCAACCGUUGUUCGGAUUCAUUGGGCGUAAAGGGUGCGUAGGCGGUCGUGCAAGUCGGAUGUGAAAUCUCAGGGCUCAACCCUGAAACUGCAUUCGAUACUGCGCGGCUAGAGUGCUGGAGGGGAGACUGGAAUUUACGGUGUAGCAGUGAAAUGCGUAGAUAUCUGGAGGAACACCGGUGGCGAAGGCGGCAUCCUGGACCGAGAUUGACGCUGAGGCGCGAAAGCUAGGGUAGCAAACGGG